GGCAUUAACUGAGGUGACACGCUGGCAUCAACAACCCAUUAGCUUCUUGUAGUGCGGCCACGCCACACCAGAUGAUGAAGUGAAAUGAAGUUGAAUCAGAGUUGAGAAGUGAGUGAUGAUGGAGAUAAAAAGUAGAGGGCAUUUGGUGAAGCAGAUAGACUCAGCGGGAUGACACAGUCUCUGAAGGGCCCAUUAAAACACGGAGGUUCAGGAUAUUUGGAGUGAGUGAUCUCAAAGCACUCGGCUUCUGUUCUUCCUGUGGGAAUAGGUGGAGGGCAACAGCUGGUUGAAGACACACACACACA